UUGUGGAUACAUACCAGGUACCUAAAUUCCUGUUUGCAGCCGCUGCACUAUUCAUCCAAUCAGACGACAUGUGGAUACAUACCAGGUACCUAAAUUCCUGUUUGCAGCCGCUGCACUAUUCAUCCAAACUGAAGACAUGUUGUGGAUAAUCACCAGGUACCUAAAUUCCUGUUUGCAGCCGCUGCACUAUUCAUCCAAUCAGACAACAUGUGGAUACAUACCAGGUACCUAAAUUCCUGUUUGCAGCCGCUGCACUAUCCAUCCAAACUGAAGACAUGUUGUGGAUAAUCACCAGGUACCUAAAUUCCUGUUUGCUGCAGCUGCACAAUGUUCAUCCAAUCUGAAGUCACGUUGUGGAUAAUCGCCAGGUACCUAAAUUCCCGUUUGCUGCAGCCGCACAAUGUUCAUCCAAUCUGAAGUCACGUUGUGGAUAAUCGCCAGGUACCUAAAUUCCCGUUUGCUGCAGCUGCACAAUGUUCAUCCAAUCUGAAGGCACGUUGUGGAUACGCACCAGUUGCUAAAAUUCACGUUGUAAGCUAUUGGCUGUUUGCUCACCACUAUUUCUUACAUUUUUCAUUUGAACACAAGUCACUGGGGUUGCUGAUAAAUGGAUUUAGUUGUGAUGUAUUUCCUCUCCACAUCUUCAUAUUUGUAAUUUUUGUCAUUCAUUCAAUCGUGUAAUUUCUAAUGUAACAAUAAAAAACUUUCUCUUAAA